rnacentral:rRNA from 1 species
CAGCCGCCGCGGUAAUACGUAGGUGGCAAGCGUUGUCCCGAAUUAUUGGGCGUAAAGGGCUCGCAGGCGGUUUCUUAAGUCUGAUGUGAAAGCCCCCGGCUCAACCGGGGAGGGUCAUUGGAAACUGGGAAACUUGAGUGCAGAAGAGGAGAGUGGAAUUCCACGUGUAGCGGUGAAAUGCGUAGAGAUGUGGAGGAACACCAGUGGCGAAGGCGACUCUCUGGUCUGUAACUGACGCUGAGGAGCGAAAGCGUGGGGAGCGAACAGGAUUAGAUACCCCUGUAGUCCCUGUCUCUUAUAC